rnacentral:rRNA from 1 species
UACGGGGGGGGUAAGCGUUGUUCGGAAUUACUGGGCGUAAAGGGCUCGUAGGCGGCCACUGCAAGUCGGUUGUGAAAUCUCCGGGCUUAACCCGGAAAGGUCAACCGAUACUGCGGGGCUAGAGUGCAGAAGGGGCAACUGGAAUUCUCGGUGUAGCGGUGAAAUGCGUAGAUAUCGAGAGGAACACCUGCGGCGAAGGCGGGUUGCUGGGCUGACACUGACGCUGAGGCGCGAAAGCGUGGGGAGCAAACAGG